CCAUGUGACCUGUAUGGACUAGUAGAAUGGGAGUGGCCUUAUGAGCCAAGCCUCCAGGCACAUGCUCUCCUUUUCCUGCUGUCCUGAGGACCAUCGCUGCUCAGGGUACAGGCUGUUCCAUCUGCUGCAGACCCAGAAUGAAAAUCACAUACAACAAAGCCACAGCAGACCUGGGAAGAACCCAGCAAAUGAGAAAAACAACCUCAGCCCAUUGGACCACUGCGAUCUGAGGAUCGUUACAGCAGCAAAACAAAGCUUAGAGCGACUGAUACAUUUUCUGGAGUUUCUCACAGCUCAGGUAUCUUUUCCAGAGGUGGCAUCGGAGCCCUGGAGUUCGUGAAGAAGCCAGGACUUUUAGGGAAUGCCCUGCAGCCUCUGUCCUGGUGUCUCCUACACAGUCACCCUGUUAUCCCCAGCCACCUGCCGUAGAGCCCCUGAACUUACAUUUGGAUCCAUACAUGAGACUCCUAAAGCCAAGGCAAACGGAAGUGGUUGUGUAGUGCAGAGCUACGCUAAGGAAAAUGCAAGAGCGAAGGAUCCUUCACGGUGUCUCUCAAGGCUCCACUCACUGUCUGUUCUGCUUCUAAUUGCACUGCCUGAUACAGCCGCUACACCAACCACGUGAAGGUUACUGAGCCCUUGAAAUUAAUGCAGAUGUGCUGGACUCUGCUGCUGCAAGUAUAAGGUUGCGUGAGUUUUAAGGACUUGCAAAAAAAAAAAAAAUUGAUGUUGAAGAGCUCUUUGGUAAUCUUUUGCAGAUUUUAAAUGUUAAAGCGACAAUAAUCAGGACAUAUUUAGUAUAAUAAAGAGUACUGU